rnacentral:rRNA from 1 species
AACGAACGCUGGCGGCAUGCCUAAUACAUGCAAGUCGAACGAAGUCUUCGGACUUAGUGGCGCACGGGUGCGUAACGCGUGGGAAUCUACCCUUGGGUUCGGAAUAACAGUUGGAAACGACUGCUAAUACCGGAUGAUGACGUAAGUCCAAAGAUUUAUCGCCCAAGGAUGAGCCCGCGUAGGAUUAGCUAGUUGGUGAGGUAAAGGCUCACCAAGGCUACGAUCCUUAGCUGGUCUGAGAGGAUGAUCAGCCACACUGGGACUGAGACACGGCCCAGACUCCUACGGGAGGCAGCAGUAGGGAAUAUUGGACAAUGGGCGAAAGCCUGAUCCAGCAAUGCCGCGUGAGCGAUGAAGGCCUUAGGGUUGUAAAGCUCUUUUACCCGGGAUGAUAAUGACAGUACCGGGAGAAUAAGGACCGGCUAACUACGUGCCAGCCGCCGCGGUAACAC